AACCAAUCAGAGGAGAGCAAUGGCGGCCCAGGCUGUAGGUUAGAGGAAGGACCGGUUACUAUGGAGACAGCAGGAUUUCUAGGGGCGGAGUCAGUGCUGUAUAGGCCGUGCAGGUGAGUGGGCGGGGUCUGUGGGCGGAGUUAUUAGAUAGACAGCGUGCCGCUGAUUGGACAGUGUGUGUGUGUGUGUCUGUCUGUAUGUCUGUAUUUCAGUCUGUCAGUG